AUAGUACUCUGGAAAAAUAACAUGUAUACGCUAACACAGCGGUUAAAGGUUCAUACACAGACUACUGUGUCUGUGAUACAGCGGUUAGGGAACAGUGUAAACUAACCUUGGACACUUUAAUCGUCAACAGGAUUUCGUUUGUGUAGUUGGCGGUGAAAGUAAGAGGUGGUUGUACUGAGCCUGAAUGCUGUCUACGGUGUUAUCUGUGGCGCUGUUGUUUGAAUGAAUAAACAGUAAUUUUCGGUCGGACAGAAAGAAGGAAACCUCACCGGCUUUGUUUUGUGUUCUUUUUAAACCAUGGCAACCUAUUGUUGGUGGAUACAGCGAGUGUCUCAGUUUGAGUAGCAGCCACUGAAUGACGCGAAUAGAGAUGGACACUCUGGACCGCCUGACAACUUCGGACGAACUUCAGGAGCGACUACAAGCCCUGACAGGAGAAAAUUUUCAGCUGCACAACAAAAAUGAACGCCUCUUCGCAAAAGUGGGGUUCCUGGAGGGCAGAUUGGGCCACCUGGCCAGCUCCAACACAGAUCUGUCCUGGAGGCUGGUGCAGAGUGAAGAGGAAAAACUGAAGAUAUCGAAGGAGCUUGUGGGGGAGAAGAUUCAGACCAACAAGAUGAGAGAGCACUUUGAGGAAGAGACGUUUGAGCUGAAAAACAAGAUUUUGAACCGAGACAGCGUGAUAACAGAGCUCGAGAUGGAGCGAGACAAGCUGUCUCGGGAACUUCAGUCAGCCGAGGCUCGUCUGAAAGUGGGAGAGAAAAGCGGACAAGACCUGACAGAAGACCAUGCCACUCUGAAGGAGAGCUUCCUGGCACUGGCCCAGGCCCACGAUAAAGAGCUGGCCCAGGGUGAGGAGCUGAGUGCCGAGCUUCUGGCACUGGCCCAGGCCCAGGACGCCCUCCGCAGGCAGCUGGCGGAGCAGGAGCGGAGUGUCCAGACCACCGCCCAGGGCCUCCACGGAGAGCUGGCCAGAGUGCGGGCCUUGAUCAGCAGCAUGUCAUGUAACAGAGUCCAGCAUGAGGAUUUGGCAGCAUUGGACAAAACUAUGAAAAAAACUCUUCUUGGGAACCAAGACGAGAUCAAAGCGACGCUGGAGAAACUGAGGGACAGUUACAAGGAGCAGCAGAAGAGCCUGGAGGAGAAACUGGUGGCCAUGGGUAGGGAGCACCAGGAGAGCAGGAGAGCGAUCCGUAACAGCCAACAGAAACUGUCUGAGCAGAGUGCGGCCCUGAUGUGCUCUCAGAGCCAAGCGAAGGAGGUGGAAGAAGAGAACUCAAAGCUGCAGCUUCAAGUCAAAGAGCUGAAUGAGGAAUACCGUGCACGGCUGGUGUGCUAUGUGCGGGACUUAUCUGGGUACCUUGACGGCCUUGGAGAUGGUCAAGCUCCUUCGGAGGGAGCGAAGGUGAGGACGUUUGUGGAAAGCAUGUUGCAGGAUGUGCGUUCGUCGUACAGGGUCAGGGAGGAACAGCUCGCCUCCGCUGCUCGCUCCUAUAAGAAGAGACUACAGAAGAUCACUAAGACCCACCAUGCCCUCCUUAUCGCAUACAGGGUUCAGAGGGAGCAGAUUUUGGCCACACCGGAGAACGGACUUGACCCUGGACCUCCAGAGGCCCAUUUCAGCCUGGCGCCCACUGAACUGAGAGAUGAGACCGAGAGCGAGCUCCAACACCUUCGUCAGGACAAGGCGAGGCUGGAGGGUCAGCUGCAGGCGGCCCGGGAGGAGGUGGCUGCCCUCAACAUGCCUGUUCAGAAUUUAAGCUGUCAGAAGCUGUCAAAACUGGAGCAGACGUGUGAGGAAUCCUGGACGGACAUACGGACACAGCUGAAGGAAAUCUCAGCCUCUACACUGGUGAGCUUCGAGAAGGAGCGAGCCCUUCUCAUCACCAGAGCAACGGUUGCAGAGGCGCAGGUGUUGGAGUUGCAGGACUACAUUGACAACCCCCUGGGCAGGUAUAAAGAAGAGAUCACCCAUCUCCGCAGACUGCAUGGAAAACAAGAGGCAGGGCGAUCCCAAAGUGCCCAUUCACCUCUCCAUUAAAAGAACUGGUGAAGGGGCUCCUGGUGGAAUGGCGGCAAGAGGCUGUGAGAAGAACCAACCCUGGGACCUCGGAAAAAUUGUGCUGAUAUUUACCCUGCGAGCCCCCAUGAGAGCCUCAUGUGAAAACUGACACCUGCUCUCUCAUUGCACUUUCUCAGGAUCCUGAUUGUAGCUUGAUUGUGAGCAGCGGACGGGGAUGGAACAGCCAAACGAAAACACGUCGCAGCCGCCGCAGAAUGGAGAGGAAGUUUCCUGUGGUACUUUGAGCUUUAAGGGUAAAUUUAGACUACAAAGCAUCUGCAGUCAGCGCCACAUCUUUUGAUUGUAGCCAGAUUGAAGCAGGCAUUUGUUGUGCUCUUUUUUUUUUAUGGACGCUGCAUUUCCUCAUCAGACUGUGGUAAUGUGAGCGAAAUUGGGUCUGUGAAUGGUUUGGCCCGUCUUGAUUUUGGAGGGAAACACACUUCUCUUUUGGUAGGCAGCGUCCCCAGUCCCUUUCACUUCACAUUUAUGACACUCAUUAGGUGCCAUUAGCUGCAUCUCCAUAUCCCACGACUUGUAAUCCAGAUGAGGGGGUUGUUAUCAGUAGCCCAGCGGCGCUGCAGUCCGUGCCUUGGGCCUGGUGAGUUUUGAUAGACAGUGUUGUUGGAGCCCAGCUGGGGGUCAGACAGAGGUUCUCCGCUGUCCGUCUCCUGUGCUGCGCCCCCUCCCCCGCACUGCUUCUAAUUGGCUGGAUCAAAUUGGAGGGAAACUUAACAAGGAGCAGGAUCCCUCCAAAAUCGACAAUAGGUAUAGUGUUUUACAUAUGUCCACAGGAAAGACAGAUGUUGUCCCUCUCGACCACAUCCACAUUUGAAUACCCUUAUUUCGAUACAAUGGGAGAGGAUACAAAGGGACUAUAUUUUGGCGGUCAAGCAAAUGCAUAAUUUUGGCGGCCAAGACGAGUUAGUGUUCUUAAAGUUGUUGUGAUAGAUCUCACAUAGUCUGGAUGCUGUGGAGAGUACAUAUUUUAAUUCAUAUAACAUCUGUGUAGGAGGGGUUACUGUCAAACAUGGCAACUAAAAGUCAGAUCCUCAAAAUGUGACAUGUUUUACCCCUUGUAUCAGUGACAAAUUAGUUUCUUAUAGCAUUUUAGGGCUUUCUCUGCAUCCAGGAUAUGUCAAAGAUAAUAAUUUUAUCAUCAUUUUCAGCAUCCAUUGAGGUAAAGUGUUUUUUAACAAAAAAUUACAGCCUAAAAGAAUCUGUAUAAAUAAAUUAGGUUUCCUUAACAAUUUCACAUUUGGAAGAUAAAAUAUGAAAUACAAAUAUAUGCCUUUUCCUCUCAGAGAGUUAGGUGAGAAAAAAGAUACAUAUCCUUUAGCAGCUGGUUAGCUUAGCUUAGCAUAAAGUCUUGAAAACAGGGGAAGCAGCUUUUCUGAAUCUGUUUAAAGGUAAGAAAAUCAGAAGCUCACUAAUGAACAUCUGAUCAUAUUUGGCUUGUUAAGUCUGUAAAAAAAACAACAACGCAAAAAGUAUAAAACAGUGGAGAUAUUUAUGAAGGGUUUCUUCAAGCUAAGCUAAGCCAAGCUAACCUUGUUGUCCAGAGUCAGCACUUUUACCAAAACGUUGAACUGUUCACUUAUAGGUGCCAGGUGUACGUUUUCUCUGUCGAUAGUAAAACCUGUACAUAGAGCACAUUUAAUAGGCAUGCACAGAAUGGAUGUGAAAUCCAAAAUCUGAUGAAUCCUUACAUCACCGUUGCCUUAACAUUGAAAACAUCUCAUAUAAAUUAAAUUUAUGUAUUAUUCUAUAUUAAUAUAAUGUAUUAAAAAUGUGUAAUGUAUUAAUGUUGACUAACAUGACUUCUCUCUUGCUUGUCUUAGUUUAAAAAACCGACGUGCACAGGUCACAUUUUAAAUGUCACACAUCAGACACUCACAGUUGGAAAAUGCUGCAGACUAAAAGACAAAAGAAUGGAUGGUCAGUUUUUUUUCUUUUGUUGCCUGACUGCAUUCGAUCUCCUCCUCCUCCUCCUCCUCCUCCUCCUCCGUCUUCUCUGCACUACAUCCUGCUCUGUCAAUUGAGUUUGCUCAGCCUAGGCUAUCCUUGGCUUGCAGAAUAUAAUUAGUCUGCCUACACACAUACACAUGCACACACACACAUGCACAUAGAGACUUUAAACUUUAAACCCCCCAUACAAAGGCCCACUCACACAAUAGACACAUGCCAAUACUAUGACCCCCUUGGCUAUCACCCCAUGCACAAAACACUCCCUGUUCGUCCUCAAACCCUCCCCCUCCUGCUCACUCAGCACAAUAAUGACACUGAUAAGAUUACAUUUUUUACAUAUCACAUUUCACAUCGUAUCAUACAAAUAAUAGAGAGCUUAACAGGUGCUGAAUCUCAGCUUUUACGGUGGAGAUCUGAAAUCUGGCUGUUGGUCAGAAUGACGCUCGCCGCUUGCCUCGAUGUAUUAAGUUUCACGUGAUAAAGUUAAUAAUGCGUUACGGUUUCAAAGCAGGAUGCCGAGGAGUUUGUAACCAAAGAUGGAGCGGAGCUUUGCCUUCAUAAACCGUUGAAAGUCAGGAUCUAAAGUCAUUGCUCACUUACAUUUUCAAGUACGAGUUAAGACUGCUGCGUGAACCACAACUUGCAAUAACUUUUAUUUGCAGAAGUAAAAUUAUGCUUGAUCAUAAACUUGAUGAGAAUAAAGGUGUCACAUAACAGUGAUUCUACAAUAGUGAUAACAAGCGAUUUAGUGAUCAUUCUUCCAGCCUUAGCAGUAAUCUGAGAAUCUUUGCAUUUCAGCCCCCAGAUGACAAUCACGCUCUCUGAAUGGAGACGCAGUCGGACCAUAAUUGCACACCACAUCUAAGUCCAGAGCAUCUUUUAUCUCCCACCAUCUUUCAGCGACUCCAUUCAGGCUCCUUGGUGACCUGUAAGCUCGUCCCCGAGCCCCUUUUGAUCUAGUUUCUUUUUAAAUGCCAUUGCACACGAGCCCUUUGCUCUCUCUCUCAGCACCUGCAAUGCAGUGUCCUGCGGCUCAUCCGGGGAACCUGUCAUUUAAAAAAAUGUAUACAUCUGUUGCAAAUGAGGUAGCCUUUGUUGGGGGGGAACCCUUGAGGCGACCGCCAAAAUUUGGUGUCCCCCUGGCUCCAUCAUUGAGUAGACCCCCAACCCCCCCGCUUCACUGACCCACCCAUCCACCCACACACACACACAUACACACACACACACACACACACACCUCCCACUUCAGGGGUAUCAUAUCACCUAUCCCUCGGGGUAUGGUGUGCAGGGUUGGAUGUUCUCAUGAUAACAGGUGUAUUUGAAUGUAUACAACAGGUGGGCUGAACGCUUAAAGAGAAGUCAUGUGGUUGUGUUGCUGGCUUUACCAUUGUUGUACGGUUUAAAUGUAUUUCAUAUCACACAGUGGAAUUAAUGAAUAUUUUAGCAAAAUCUUUUAAUCAUUUCAGUUUAAGCUUUUGUGGCAUAAUUGUGGAGGUAAACCCCCCACAAACAUUCAAUAAAAACAUCUUUGACGGAUGCUGGAUCAAAAAAAUAUCACAGAGGAACCUCUAACACCUAAAAGCUCCCGUUGAAGGAUUUUAUUUGCUGCAAUAAUGUUAAAAGCCCACAGCUCUUCCCCAGACAGAUAAUUGUGGAAGUGACCGUUAGAUCCUGUUUUUAAGCAUUGAGCAUAUUAGAAGUUCUGCAAAGCAUACCAGAGGCAAUAAAUAUUUAUC